GUGUCUACAAGAUUCUUGUCACUAGUAUCAGCACCAUGAAUAGUCUUCUUGAAGUCCUCGUUAUACUCGGCCUCGUAUAAAUCCACGAUCGAUUUCGUACGUUGAUUAUGCAUAGAAAAGCCAUUGGAUCUUUGGCUCUUUGCAAGAAUUUGCCCAUUCUCAAACACAAGCUCCAUAUACUCUUGAUCAGUUAACCUGCAACAACAAUAAAUCAGCUUGGUUGAUGAUGAUGAUGAUGAUGGAGAAGUCAUGUUUGUCUUGUUGAAUUAUCCAAAAGGCUUUGUCUUCGUUUGGAAGAGUAAGUGAAAACUAUCUUUCAUUUUGUUGAUCAACCUCAGAGGCUUUUAGCUCUCUUUAUAUUUCGCUUUUCUUUAUUAUUAUUAUUUUUUGUUCUCAGGUGCAAUUAAUAUCUUAGUAGGACAGUACUGUUCAUUUGUACUAAAUCGAAUCUUGGCAUCUUCUAGUUUUUUCUAGAACUUUCAUUGCAAAAUUUUGAUUCCUAAAUACGAAAUCAUAAUAAAAUCUAGUCUUACUGCU